CCAUAUGUGGAUAUGGUGAACGAUGCAUUUAAUUUUAACGUGGGGUAUGAUGAUAACUAUCA
rnacentral:sRNA from 1 species